CGCUGGCGGCGUGCUAACACAUGCAAGUCGAACGGGUCUAUUAGCUUGCUAAGACGACCUAGUGGCAAACGGGUGAGUAACGCGUGGGCAACCUGCCGGAAAGAUGGGGACAACAUCCCGAAAGGGGUGCUAAUACCGAAUGUUGUACGAGGGACGCAUGUUCCAUGUACUAAAGGAUCCUAUCCGCUUUCCGAUGGGCCCGCGUCCGAUUAGCUGGUUGGUGAGAUAACGGCCCACCAAGGCGGCGAUCGGUAGCCGGCCUGAGAGGGUGAACGGCCACAUUGGGACUGAGACACGGCCCAGACUCCUACGGGAGGCAGCAGUGGGGAAUCUUCCGCAAUGGGCGAAAGCCUGGCGGAGCAAACCGCCGCGUGAGUGAAGAAGGCCUUCGGGCCGUAAAGCUCUGUUGCCGGGGAAGAGUGCUAUGGGGGAACCUGUAGAGGGACGGUACCCGGCGAGGAAGCCGCGGCUAACUACGUGCCAGCCGCCGC
rnacentral:rRNA from 1 species